UGUCUUAAUUGGUAAAGAAUCUGCCUGCAAUGCAGAAGAUCUGGGUUCGAUCCCUG
rnacentral:tRNA from 1 species